GCUUAAAGAGAAAGAGAAGAAGGUGAGAAAGAAAGAGGAUGAGGCUGAAAAAUCUGAUUUCUGAUGGAAAAGGGCUGCUGGGGGGGGGCGGAGAGAGAGUGAAUGCAGCAGAAUCGGUGAGGGCAGCUCGUGUAAUGUUGUCUCUUGUGUAGUAAUGGAAGAGAAAAAAGAGGGGGGGAGCAUUAAAAGGAGAGUGCGCUGUAAAAGUGAAUGAAUUCUGCUGCAGUAAAAAGCAGCAGUUGUUUGCUCUGUUCUCCCACUGAGGGUCAGCUUGUCCACCCGUGGGCCGCCUCGCCAUCCAGAGGGGCUUUAGAAAAGACACGCGUUCCCAGCAGGAAGGGGGAAAGAAGAAAAGAAAGGAAGAGCCCACUGUGUUUAUGUUGUUAACCUUUUUUCCCUAUUCAGAGAAAUGCACCACGAUCCUCCUCCUCCUCCUUCCCGCCUCCUCCUCUCCUCUCCUGUGAGCCCUCCCUCCCUCUGCCUUACUUUCUCUUCCUCUCUCACUCUCAUGUUUCGCAUAAAGGAGUCACAUUUCACUGAAGAAGGGGAAUCAAGGCUUCACUUCUUCUUUCUUCUUCCUUAAGUCUUAUUCGUCUCCCGUGAUUCUCUCCAUCUUUUCUCCCGCUCUCACUCUUUCUCUCUCUGCCGUCACUUUUUCUAUCUCCUCCCAUCACUGCGUCGCACUUUGAUUCACUCCAUUUGCUUUGAUUUGCUUCCCAAACUUAUUUUACUUUCCUCUUUGCUCUCGGCUUUAUUUUCUCUCUUGCUCUCUUUGAUGUAAAAGACUGCAAUCUUAUUUCUUUCUGUUUUUUUUUUUUUGUUGUUGUUGCACUUUUUAUACCUGAAAAAACAAUUUUUUGUUGUUUUUUUUAUGUGGAAAGUUAUGUUUCAAGACUUUUUUUUUUUUCAAAACCAGGGGGGAAAUUAUGUUUGUCCACACGAAGGAUGGAGUAAAGCUGUGGAUUUGAUGGACGGCUGUCGCUUGUGCAGAAGGACCCAUCCUGCUACGUUCCUGUGCUUUUCCAGGUUGUGUGAUUGCUUGGAAAUGAUCACGCCCUCCUCCUUCCCCAAUCCCCACUGAGGCUCGGUCUGCUGGAUGGACGCACAAACACCAUUUUGUCUACAGGUUCCUGGCUUUGAUUGUGGCUCGGCUGACAUCAUGUGGUUUCAGUAGAGCAGGUGGAUUCUCUCACACAGGCUGGAGUCAGGAGUUUAACUGCAAUAACAUCAUUUGAAAAAUAAAUAGACACAUUCUUCAAUCAACUGUGUUUUUUUUUUUACUUUUGAAAUAUUAUUUAUAUGGUAGAACAGCAUUUUUUAUUGUCAUUAUUGUUCAAGAUGAGAAGCAUCUGCAGCUCUAAAUGGCACAAAUGACAGAACG